GCGGGUAUGGUUUAGUGGUAGGACGCGUCCUUGCCAAGGACGAGGCGGGGUUUCGAUUACCCCUACCCGCA
rnacentral:tRNA from 2 species